rnacentral:rRNA from 1 species
UUCUGACCUCGAAUCAGGUGGGACUACCCGCUGAACUUAAGCAUAUCAAUAAGCGGAGGAAAAGAAACUAACAAGGAUUCCCCUAGUAACGGCGAGUGAAGUGGGAUGAGCUCAAAUUUAAAAUCUGGUAGUCUUUGGCUGCCCGAGUUGUAAUCUAGAGAAGUGUUUUCUGUGCUGGACUGUGUUCAAGUUUCCUGGAUAUGGAACAUCAUAGAGGGUGAGAAUCCCGUCCUUGACACAGAUUCCCUAGUGCUCUGUGAUGCACUCUCAACGAGUCGAGUUGUUUGGGA